CUGCCGGGCAGGGAUUUACAAAGGCCCGUACUUCUGCAUCAAUCAUUCUGCGAGGAGCAAAUGAUUUCAUGUGUGAUGAGAUGGAGCGCUCCCUACAUGAUGCACUCUGUGUUGUGAAGAGAGUGCUUGAGUCCAAGUCUUUAGUUCCAGGAGGUGGGGCUGUGGAAGCUGCACUCUCCAUCUACCUGGAAAACUAUGCAACUAGUUUGGGAUCACGUGAACAACUUGCCAUUGCAGAAUUUGCCCGGGCCAUGUUGAUUAUUCCUAGACUCUGGCAGUGAAUGCUGCUCAGGAUUCUACAGACCUUGUUGCAAAGUUGCGUGCAUUCCACAACGAAGCUCAGGUCAAUCCUGAUCGCAAAACUUUGAAAUGGAUUGGUCUUGAUUUAUUGAAUAGGAAGCCAAGGGACAACAAACAAGCUGGUGUCUUUGAGCCUACUAUGGUUAAAGUCAAGAGUCUGAAGUUUGCAACAGAAGCUGCUAUAACCAUCCUGCGAAUUGAUGAUCUCAUCAAACUUUACCCAGAUGAAAAGCAAGACAAAGGAGUUACCAAGAUGCAGUUCAAAGUGGAGAGCUUAAUGGCUGAAGCACCUGAGUUCUAAAAUCAGCUAUUAUAAUUUAUGUUUAACUCUUGGCAUCCAUCAGGUGCUUCUUGUACUUCUGUUCUAGAUUGAGCAGCUUGUCAUACUUGUCUGAAAUUCAGUGCCACUUGUUUAGUGCUCUGUUUAAUUUACU